rnacentral:piRNA from 1 species
UAGUUAUCUUGGUGCAGUGAAGU